rnacentral:tRNA from 1 species
GAGAGAUGCUUGCGCACCAAGGACUGCUAAUCCUUAUUACUUUGGUUAGACUCCAAAGAUCACUCA